rnacentral:SRP_RNA from 1 species
GCCAGGCAUGGUGGUGGGUGCCUAUAAUCCCAGCUACUCAGGAGGCUGAGGCAGAAGAAUUGCUUGAACCCAGGAGGCGGAGGUUGCAGUGAGCCGAGAUGGCGCCACUGCACUCCAGCCUGGGUGACAGAGCAAGACUCUGUCUCAA